rnacentral:rRNA from 1 species
GCUAGCUCUGGGGAAGGAAACGGGUGAAAGGGGAGGGUGUAAGCGUGAUACGGAGGCAGUGGGGUUAAAGGGUGCGUAGGGGGGGUGGUAAUGUAGGGGUGAAAUCACAGAGCUUAACUUGGGAACUGCCAUUGAUAGUAUCAGGCAUGAAUACCGUGGAGGUCAGCGGAAUAUGUGAUGUAGCGGUGAAAUGCUUAGAUAUGACAUAGAAGACCAAUUGCGAAGGCAGCUGGCUACACGAAUAUUGACACUGAGGCACGAAAGCGUGGGGAUCAAACAGGAUUAGAUACCCUGGUAGUC